rnacentral:rRNA from 1 species
CCUACGGGUGGCAGCAGUGGGGAAUAUUGCACAAUGGGGGAAACCCUGAUGCAGCGACGCCGCGUGAGUGAGGAAGUAUUUCGGUAUGUAAAGCUCUAUCAGCAGGGAAGAAAAUGACGGUACCUGACUAAGAAGCCCCGGCUAACUACGUGCCAGCAGCCGCGGUAAUACGUAGGGGGCAAGCGUUAUCCGGAUUUACUGGGUGUAAAGGGAGCGUAGACGGUUAAUCAAGUCAGAAGUGAAAACCCAGGGCUCAACCUUGGGACUGCUUUUGAAACUGUUUUUCUUGAGUAUCGGAGAGGUAAUCGGAAUUCCUAGUGUAGCGGUGAAAUGCGUAGAUAUUAGGAAGAACACCAGUGGCGAAGGCGGAUUACUGGACGACAACUGACGGUGAGGCGCGAAAGCGUGGGGAGCAAACAGGAUUAGAUACCCGAGUAGUC